UUUAUUUAUUUAAAUCAGAUAUAAAAGAAAAAUAAAGUUAAAGGACCAUUUUACAAAUAAUAAAGUUUGACUCUAGAUAUAGUAAAAAAAAUAUAGAUCUUCUAUAUAUAGAGAUAAAAAUAGAGAUCUCUAUUUAGAGGUGAGAAUAGAAGUGCGUUGGAGUAAAAUUUACUCUAAAAUAUAGUAUAGAAGCAAAAAUAGAAGUGAGUUUGAGAUGCUCUUAUACUGUUACACUGGAACCUAAAACGUGUAAAAAUUAUCAUUCGAUAAAUUUAUAAUUUAAUUUGAGUUUGAUUAUUAUAAAAGUGUAAAUAGUCCGCGCUCUGCUCGGUCAAGCAAUGUGGGACAUUGUACACAUUGUCUAAUUGUCUAAUUAUUGUCUCGGUCAAUCAAUCUCGGUAAAUGACAAUCAUUGUCUAAUUGUUAAAGCAAUGUGGGACAUUGUACACAUAUUUUUUAUCAUCAAUUGAGUAAUCUAUGUUUGUUUUUAAAAAAAACUGAACCACGUCAUAAGGAGGAAAAAAAUCUAU
rnacentral:sRNA from 1 species